rnacentral:rRNA from 1 species
AGAGUUUGAUCCUGGCUCAGAACGAACGCUGGCGGCGUGCUUAACACAUGCAAGUCGUACGAGAAACCGGAACUUCGGUUCUGGGAGUAGAGUGGCGCACGGGUGAGUAACGCGUAGGUAAUCUACCCUUGGGUUUGGAAUAACCCGCCGAAAGGCGGGCUAAUACCGGAUAAAAUCUUUCGGAGGGAUCCGAAAGAUCAAAGGUGGCCUCUCCAUGGACGCUACUGCCUGAGGACGAGCCUGCGUCCCAUUAGCUUGUUGGUUGGGUAAUGGCCUACCAAGGCUACGAUGGGUAGCUGGUCUGAGAGGAUGAUCAGUCACACUGGAACUGGAACACGGUCCAGACUCCUAUGGGAGGCAGCAGUGAGGAAUAUUGCGCAAUGGGGGAAACCCUGACGCAGCGACGCCGCGUGGGUGAAGAAGGCCUUCGGGUCGUAAAGCCUUGUCUAGAGGGAAGAACUUCUCAACGGAACAAUACCCGUUGAGAUUGACGGUACCUCUGGAGGAAGCACCGGCUAACUCCGUGCCAGCAGCCGCGGUAAUACGGAGGGUGCGAGCGUUGUUCGGAAUUACUGGGCGUAAAGCGGGUGUAGGCGGUUUGUUAAGUCAAAUGUGAAAGCCCACGGCUCAACCGUGGAAGUGCAUCUGAAACUGGCAGACUUGAGUACCGGAGAGGGAAGUGGAAUUCCUGGUGUAGGGGUGAAAUCCGUAGAUAUCAGGAGGAACACCGGUGGCGAAGGCGACUUCCUGGACGGAUACUGACGCUGAGAUCCGAAAGCGUGGGGAGCAAACAGGAUUAGAUACCCUGGUAGUCCACGCCCUAAACGAUGGGCACUAGGUGCAGGGGGUGUUGACCCCUCCUGUGCCGUAGCUAAUGCAUUAAGUGCCCCGCCUGGGGAGUACGGCCGCAAGGGUGAAACUCAAAUGAAUUGACGG